AGAGUUUGAUCAUGGCUCAGAUUGAACGCUGGCGGCAGGCCUAACACAUGCAAGUCGAGCGGUAACAGAUUGAUAGCUUGCUAUCAAUGCUGACGAGCGGCGGACGGGUGAGUAAUGCCUGGGAAUAUACCCUGAUGUGGGGGAUAACUAUUGGAAACGAUAGCUAAUACCGCAUAAUCUCUUCGGAGCAAAGAGGGGGACCUUCGGGCCUCUCGCGUCAGGAUUAGCCCAGGUGGGAUUAGCUAGUUGGUGGGGUAAUGGCUCACCAAGGCAACGAUCCCUAGCUGGUCUGAGAGGAUGAUCAGCCACACUGGAACUGAGACACGGUCCAGACUCCUACGGGAGGCAGCAGUGGGGAAUAUUGCACAAUGGGCGAAAGCCUGAUGCAGCCAUGCCGCGUGUGUGAAGAAGGCCCUAGGGUUGUAAAGCACUUUCAGUCAGGAGGAAAGGUUAGUAGUUAAUACCUGCUAGCUGUGACGUUACUGACAGAAGAAGCACCGGCUAACUUCGUGCCAGCAGCCGCGGUAAUACGAGGGGUGCAAGCGUUAAUCGGAAUUACUGGGCGUAAAGCGAGCGUAGGCGGCUGAAUAAGCUGGAUGUGAAAAACCGGGGCUCAACCUCGGCCGUGCAUUCAGAACUGUUUAGCUAGAGUCCUGUAGAGGGGGGUAGAAUUUCA
rnacentral:rRNA from 1 species